UACGAAGGGGGCUAGCGUUGCUCGGAAUCACUGGGCGUAAAGCGCACGUAGGCGGACAGGGAAGUUGGGGGUGAAAUCCCGGGGCUCAACCCCGGAACUGCCUCCAAAACUCCCUGUCUGGAGGAUGAGAGAGGCGAGUGGAAUUCCGAGUGUAGAGGUGAAAUGCGCAGAUAUCAGGAGGAACACCAAUUGCGAAGGCAGCUCGCUGGGACGUUACUGACGCUGAGACGCGAAAGCGUGGGGAGCAAACAGG
rnacentral:rRNA from 1 species